AUAAAGGAGACUUGUUUCGUUUCGUUUGAUAACGGAAACUGAGUGCAGGGAGAAAGAGAAAGAAGCCGAGUACUUCCGUGUUUCGCCUCCCAGUGAAGAAUAUCACUGACAGAAACGGCCUGUCUUGUUGUCGACUGACCAUGACACUGUGAGCAGUGGCGAUUACAAAACAAUAUAUGGACCGAUUUCAUUUGUAACCUGGAUUAAUAAAUGAGACAAUGCUGCAGGGGUCUAAGAAAAAAGACAGACGUAUUCUAUCGGGUACGUGUCCGGAUCCUAAAUGCCAGGCUCGGCUGUUUUUCCCAGCCUAUGGAGUCAGUAUAGAAUGCACCGAAUGCGGCCAACGCCAUGAACAAAGAAAUCUGCUCAAGGUAGAGGAAGUCACCGACCCUGACGUGGUGCUGCAUAACCUGCUAAGGAAUGCUCUGCUGGGAGUCACGGCCCCCAAAAAGGGCACGGAAAUGGUGAAAGUAAUGGGGUUGUCCAACUACCAUUGUAAGCUGCUGUCUCCUAUCCUCACCCGGUAUGGCAUGGAUAAGCAAACUGGGAAGGCCAAGCUCCUCGGAGAGAUGAACCAAGGGGAAAUGUUUGAUUGUGCCUUGUUGGGUGACAGGGCUUUCCUUAUUGAUCCAGAGCACAUUGGAACUAUGGGCUAUGGUAAAGAUCGCUCAGGGAGUUUGUUAUACCUCCAUGAUACCCUAGAAGAAAUCAAGAAGGCCAAUAGUAAUCAAGAAUGUUUAAUUCCUGUUCAUGUUGAUGGUGAUGGCCAUUGUUUAGUUCACGCUGUGUCUAGGGCCUUGGUGGGUAGAGAGCUUUUUUGGCAUGCCCUGCGUGAAAAUCUCAAACAGCACUUUAAAUUAAACCUGGAUCGUUACAAAGCAUUGUUCCAUGACUUCAUUGAUGCAGCAGAAUGGGAGGAUAUAAUUAACGAAUGUGAUCCUUUGUUUAUACCACCUGAAGGAGUUCCUUUGGGUCUACGUAACAUCCAUAUAUUUGGUUUAGCAAAUGUAUUACACCGCCCAAUUAUUUUAUUAGAUUCCCUGAGUGGAAUGAGAAGUUGUGGAGAUUAUUCGGCUACUUUUCUUCCAGGAUUAGUUCCUGAAGAAAAAUGUCAGGGAAAGGAUGGACAGCUUAAUAAACCUAUUUGUAUUGCAUGGAGCAGUUUAGGACGCAACCAUUAUAUACCUUUGGUUGGAAUUAAAAGGGGUCCUUUACCUAUGCUUCCUUUGAAACUAUUGCCUAAAGCCUGGGGUGUUCCACAAGAGCUUAUUCGAAAGUACAUUCUGUUUGAAGAUGACAGUUGUACAUUAGGAGGCGACCGAAGUUUGCAAGAUAAGUACUUGCAGAGAUUAGUUACUGCAAUGGAAGAAAUUUUCUUGAAGAAACAUGACAUCCACCCUUCACUGGUAGCAGAUGUUCAUCAGUAUAUAUACAGAAGGACAGGGGUAAUUGGAAUACAACCUGAAGAUGUAACUGAAGCUGCAAAGAAAGCUGUAACUGAAAAUCGUUUGCAGAAAUGUUUGAUUUGCGGUGCUCUUUCAGAACUUCACGUGCCUACAGAAUGGUUGGUUCCAGGCGGAAAGCUAUACAAUUUAGCUGCAAGCACGCAUGGUCAACUGAAGCCAGACAAAAAUUACAGCUUUCCUGUUAACCAUCUUGUAUGUUCCUAUGACCCAAAAGAUGAUGUAUUGGUCCCAGAUUAUAAUUUGAGUCACUUAACAUCUUGCAACUGGUGUCAUGGUACAUCGAUGCGCCAUGUUAAAGGAGAUGGUUCGGUUGUGUAUAUAGAUGGAGAUCGAACUAACUCUAGAUCUGCUGGAGGCAAAUGUGGUUGUGGUUACAAGCAUUACUGGGAAGAAAAGGAAUACGAUAACUUACCUGAAGCAUUUCCAAUAACUUUGGAAUGGAGUGGAAGGGUGGUGCGAGAAACUGUGUAUUGGUUUCAGUAUGAAAGUGAAGUGGCUCUAAACAGCAAUGUUUAUGAUGUUGCUAUGAAGCUUGUCACCAAACAUUUUCCAGGUGAAUUUGGAAGUGAAAUUUUGAUUCAGAAAGUUGUUAGCAGAAUAUUACAUCAUACAGCCAAAAAGAAUCCCGAUGAAUAUACACCUGUCACAGUCGAAGGUGCACAUAGUCAGAGAGUUGGAGACAUGCAAGAUGAACCAACCACAGAACCACAUAUGCCUACCAAAAUUAUUUUAAUGGGUCAGAAAUCAAAGACUCUGCACAAAGAAGAAUUGAACAUGAGUAAAACUGAACGAAGUAUUCAGCAGAAUAUUAUUGACAAUGCAGCACUUUCGCAAAAGCGGAAAACCGACAAAUUGCGCCAGGAACUGAAAGGACCAGGCCAGCCAUCUGUUCCUGGAAUUGUGAAAGAUGGUUCAUCAUCUGCCCCAGUUACUCCCACUAAGUCCCCUUUCUCCCCAGUACCUACAAAGGAGAAAAAAAUUAGAGUAACCACUAGUGAUGGGAGACAGGCAACACUAACUCUUCAAGUAUCAGUAACUUUUUCUGAAUUUCAAGAAAGUAUAGCAAAAGAAUUUAAGCUUCCUCUACAUUUGCAAUGCAUACGGUAUGGCUUUCCUCCAAAGGAACUGCAUCGUCCCAAGGUGGGAUUUGAGAACGAGGCUUUGCCCCUACAACAUGGUGAUCGUGUAUCUGUGGAGAUCAUGAAGGACAACAAGGAAUCUGUGCCUGCUUGUUCAACAUCAGUGGCUUGUUCCUGGAAAGCUGAAGAAGAUGAAGCAUCUGGUCAAGCAUCUGUUAAGGAUGUGCAAGACCAUAUUGAUCUUGAAAUGUCAUCCCUCUGUCUUCUUGCAACUUUAAUGGGGGAGGAUGUUUGGUCGUAUGCAAAAAAGCUACCAUACUUAUUUGAAGAAGGUGGAGUGUUCUAUAAUGCAAUGAAGAAAGAUGUGGGUUUGGCAAAUGGCAAGCACUUCACACUUCCACACCUUCCUGGUAAAACAUUUGUGUAUAAUGGGACAGACAAUAGACUGGAGCUGUGCAUUGAUCCAGCAGGACAUAUCCCUAUUGGCCCGGACAUUGACAAUAUGAUCAAAGAGGCAUUAAGUCAGUUACGAUCUGAGGGAGGACCAAGAAGUAGAGAGGGAAGUCCUUCCUCGCAUGGAGGGAUGAAACUUGGAAGUGGAGGAGUAGUGCGAAAAAAGUCUGAACAAAUGCCAAAUGUCACAGCUUUCCAAGGAAAAGGCCAUUCCCUAGGGACUGCUUCAAGUAGCCCACAGUUGGAGCAGAGGCAUAGCAGGGAAAUGCAGAUGCAUAGAAAACAAAGUACAGGCACUUCCUCAGCAACAGACCUUAAUUGUGCUAUUGGAAAGUCAAGUGCUAAGCAAGAGGCUUCCCCACCAAAAUCCAGUGGUGGAGAUAGUCAGCUAAUACGAAUGGCGCCUGGUUUUGUAACAAUGCGUGAUGGUAGGCAACUUGAUCCCAAUUUAGUUGAAGCACAACGUAAGAAGUUACAGGAGAUGGUAUCUUCUAUUCAAGCUUCCAUGGAUAAACACUUGAGGGAUCAGAGUGCAGAAGAAUCAAUUCCUAGUGAUAUUCAUGAAACAAAGAUGCAAUACACAACUUCCUCUGUCCCAUUAGUAACAAGAACUGAAGGUCCUCAAACGGAUGCCCCGCAGCAAGAACCAGGCACUCCACAAGUAGGUGAUAAUGAAAAUUUAGGUAUGGAAACAACAACUGGUGUGGAACUCUUAUCUUAUUCAUCUAUACCAUCAUGCAAGGUACAAGAUUCAACCCUUUUGAAUGAAGACCUUGAAGAAAUGGAUAGUCAGGAAAUAGAAGGAACCGUAGAACCCAUGGAUCAUUCUUGAUUUCAUAUCGAAAUGGAUAUUAUAAAGCGUGUAAGCAGAGCUGGCUUUGUACAAGAAUCGUGACAUGGCAAAAGGAACUCAUCGUGUUCAAAAGACAGAAUCAGAUUUUAUUUUCCUUAUCCAUUGCAUCGUACCAAGAUUAUUCUUGGUAACCCACACAACGUCUGCCUUACUACUGUCCCUACUAAUCCACAAAUUAAUGUUAGCUUGUGCUUGGAUUCAGUUAUUGAUGCAGCUCUCAGUAAGACCUCUUUUAAUAAGAGAUGUCAGCCAGAAAUGUUUCCACAUCGUGUGUCAGACUGGAGAUCACACUUUGUUGUAAAGGACAAUAAGUACAACCAGCUGGCAUUCCACCCUCACAACUGACAGGAAUGGGAAAUUAGAAUGCAUUAGAAUAAAACUAUAGAAUUUUAAGGUGCCAGAUUCAUUGACCAUUUAUUUUCCAGUUGCUUAAUUCAUUUAUUAAUAAGAUUUAUCUCACUUCAUUCAUUUUGCUCUAAAGAUAUCACCACAAAUAUUUAGUUGUUACAAAUUAAGAAAAAUCAGCACCUUUAUAUAAAAAGAAAAAAAAGAAAAAAGAAAAAAAGAUUUCCAUUAUUCUCACUCAAAAUAGCUAAAUAUCAAACGUUGGACAUCAUAAUCCACAAUACGAUACAAAUUCUGAGAAAGCAAAUGUUUUUCCAUUUCAAUGUGCCAUGCUGUGGUGUAUAAGAUUACCAACAAAAUGGUAGUAUUAAUUACAGUUAAAUAGAGUAGUUAUUAACAGGUGAUUUUUGCAGUGGCUGUGUGUGUUAAAUAGUUUAAACAGGACCACAUCGUGAUUGGAAAUGAGAGAGUUACCAAAUAUUUUCUGAUUUUUGAAAUAUAAAUGCUAAUAUUGCCACUCUGUAUAUAGGGAGAUAUUACAUAUGCGUGAAAUCAAAAUACACAAACCAUAAUAUGUUUGAAAGAAAAUGUCUGCCUUUAAAUUAAAAAAAAUUGAAUUCACAAACCCAUAAUAAUUCAAUGUUAAAAAGACUUUUUGAGAGUAAACGGAUGAUUUUUGCUUUAUGGAACGUAAGUUGUGAAUUUCUACUUUCAUUUAAACUGUGCUUUGAAUAGCCAGUAUCAUAGUCAAUUAAUCUUGAUAUUAACUUAACUUUUUUUAAUGGGUUUCCUUUAAUUUAUCAUAAUUGUAAUGGCAAUUGAAUCAUUUUUAAGGAUGCUUGAAGACUUUGUGUUCUUUAGACAAUUC